rnacentral:lncRNA from 1 species
UAUACACUAAACAUGGCGUUAUGUCCAUCAAGAAAAAAAAACAUGAUCAUAUGUUUACACAGAUACUAUAGUUGCUAAAAGAAAUGUUGGUACAAAUAGGUUGGCCCCAACUAAGCCUACCAUAAACAGAGCUACUCCCUCCGUCCCAUACAUACAGGGGAGCUACAUGUAUUACUUGGGGUGCCGCUGCCCCCCGGCCAUUGCUAAUUAGUGAAGGAAAUUUCUUCGUGAAGGCUCAAAUUUAGUAGAGUGCACUCAUUUGGCCCCCUCAAAGUUGCAUAUUUUCUAUUUGCCCCCCUGAGAUCCUUCAUUAGCUCCGUCAUUGGUACCGUAUCAUAGUGUCAAAAAAUAUCUUACAUUAUGAGGGAGUAGUAUAUCGUUGGACUGUAGGCAGGGUCUUCUGGACAGCACAACCAUCACAGCACAGAUCUAGCCUGGGGAAUUUUCCAUUUUGGUACCUGGUCUUUACAAUUUUCAUGAGCGUAGCGUGGCCAUUCCUGAGGUAGCAUUCGGUGUAGAAGACGACAGCAGCUACGGCAACGGCUUUAAUGCAGUCUUGUUCCUUUGCCAUGACGAGGAAAGAAAAAAGGAAGAAACAGAUCAAACACUGGUCCCAUACGUCUCUGUGAUCACAUCACAUCACUCAAAGAAAGAAAAGAAAAAAGAUACUAACUCCUAAGUGAGGCCAAAAACGUUAAAACUAAUUGCCGUGUUGCUACAGCAGUACAGCUAAAUAUAAAAAAGAUUACUCCUAAGUGAGGCAGUUGACUGAAGAGUUAACGCUACUGCCUUCCCUAGUUAACCAACUUUCUUAAGAACAACAAUACGAAAAUAGAACAGCAUUGAUCAACUAAGCAUAAUUAGAGUUGCGUUAUUUUUAGUGGUUGGCGGAUUCAAAUAUAUAUAAACAAAUAAAUAUGGAUUGUAUCCCUUGGGGCCUUGGGGGUAUGAAUGUUGAUUAUGCACUGGCAGUAAUCUACACAUUUUUGUGGAAACUCUGAAAAGUGUUCUGUCACUAACUACCUCGAGCAGUUUAGCCAAGAUUCGUUUUGACAGCAUCUGAUAGCCUAAGCAGAUUUUUACCUUGCUAGUUGAUUUCUCAUGAGAUGAACAGCACGCGCCAGCAUUUCCUACACAGUAGAGCGAGCCUGAGAACGCCCCUAACACAGCCAAAGUAAUCCACGAUUACCUGCACAGAAGGUUGGAAACUGUAACGCCAAACGACAAGCAGAUAGAUUUCUUUGCAAGUCACAACACCCCAUAGAAAGGAAAACGACCAGGUAUGCCUGACAACAGAUAGAGAAAAUAAAGAGUGCACCAAUAGUCCUUGGGGCUAGCAAGUUGAUAGUGUACAUCAACCUAGUAUAAUUUGACCAAAACAAUCUAACAACGAAUGGAGAUCAAAGCACAUCUCCAGCCCCUGCAUCCAAAGCGACAGUGCAUGUUUUCAUGCAGUUUAACAUCUCUAUAGUAUCACAUAUGUAUCUUUAAAUCCAGAAGUUCCAUUUAAUAUGGAUACUGUUCGGCAAGUCACAUUUGAAAUCAUAGUUCUAAAAUUGUUUGUUGUGCAGGAAUUGGCAACAUCUUCACACAUGUGUACCACAAGGAAAAAACCUAUCAAAAUUAUAAAUGGAGCAAGCGGGACAAUUCGUCCAUCACGGUAAGCAGCUCUACUUUUUACUAAAUCGAUAAUGGUUGAUACUGUUUAUCUCAGAGUAAGUGUUCCACUGAAAAACAUGUAACGCUCCAUAUCAGGAGUUCAUCAUUCAUUAAUUUAUUAUUCACCUAACAUGCUGAAUCUUUGUGAUCCCGUUACAUAAUCAGGAUGACACUUCUUCUAGGAGCACCUGGUUCUGGGAAAACUACUUUUUUAAAAGCAUUGGCAGGAAAGUUGGAUUCUUCUUUGAAGGUACACUGAGUUAUCUACUUGCCACCGAAACCACUUACUAACAAGACAAUCAUUGAUUAACCAGCAUUGUUUUUUUCUUGAUAUCACAUCUCUUAAUAGCUCAAAGGAAAGGUCAUGUACAAUGGAGAAGAAGUGAAUUCCUCAACACCUCAAUACCUGCAUGCCUACAUUAGCCAGUAUGAUCUUCAUCAUGCUGAGAUGACCGUCAGAGAGACGAUUGAUUUCUCUUCCAAGAUGUUGGGAACCAAUAAUGAAUUUGGUGAGACACCCUCUUGGGUAUGGGGAUAUAGCUUUAGUUCCCGUGUAUAUGAAUGAGCUAAUUUAUAACCAAACCCAGACACUGAAAAUUAAGAAGCACUCCUUUCAAGGUUUUUUUCCCUUUGCAUGACAUAAAUACUAAUGCAAAAUUCCUGUUUGAAAUGGUCGCCUUAGAGAUGCUGGGAGAAGCAAUAAGAAGGAAAAAGGGUGUCAUCAACAAAGUGGACCAAGAUCUUGACUCGUUUAUUAAGGUUACUAAGUUUAUUUUCCGCCAAUUUUGGUAAAACUGGAAUCCAGUUCCCCCAAUUGCUUAAAUCUGUUUUCUGCAGGCUACCACCUUCGGAGAAGGAAGCAACCUUACAACAAACUAUAUUAUCAAGGUAAAUUCGUAACUUUUCAAUUUAUACAUUUGUCUUCAUAACAUAAUCACAAACUUUGUGCAAAUGCAGAUACUUGGUUUGUCCGAGUGUGCAGAUACCCUAGUGGGGGAUGAGAUGAGAAGAGGCAUAUCAGGAGGACAAAAAAAGAGAGCCACGAUUGGUAAGGAUUCUAUAGUGUUUACUAUGUAUCUUGUUCCUCUUAUCACCCUCUGUUCCCACUUUAUAGAGUGCAUUUUCUAAUGCGACCUUAUUUCAUAAUAAAAAAAAGGGUUUAUGUUAUAGUCCUUGGCCCAAUAAAAAAUUUAUCACCUCAACAACUUAUAUUUUGUACAGUAUUGCUUGAUGAAACAAAGAUCCUAGUUAAACCCACAAUGAAAAGAUUGUAAAGUAACAAAAUGUCAAAAUGACACCAUAAUUUCUUGACAUGUUCGAUUAAAUGGACUAUGAAAACAGUAUGCGUGUACUUUUGUAGUGAGCCGGUCACGAUAUUACAGAAUGCUCUCUUCCUGCUGAACUCUCUAUUGUUCUCCAGAAAAAAUAAUUUGAGGAUGAUAUUUAUUCUACUGAAUAAGGGCAACUCUGAAUAUGUCAGAUGUAACUAAAAAUUAUGUAGAUUGCUGGAAGGUACCCACACUGCAAUGUGCUGCAUUUAUAAUAUAUAUUUUCCAUGGCCUAUUCUGCUUACGAAUAUGUCAGAUGUAACUAGAAAUUAAGUAGAUUGCUGGAAGGUACCCACACUGCAAUGUGCUGCAUUUAUAAUAUAUAUUUUCCAUAGCCUAUUCUGCUUACGAAUAUGCCAGUUAUACAGACGAUGGUGCCAGUACCAAAGUUAACAACUAUAAAUAUUGACGAUGUAAUCAACAGUGGUUUUCUUUUAUCAAUUUGUCAUUGUUGCUAUAUUUUUAAGAUGAAUUCACUAAUGCAGGAGAGAUGCUAGUUGGUCUAGCAAGAUGCUUCUUUAUGGAUGACAUAUCAACAGGUCUAGAUAGCUCCACCACAUACGAGAUCGUAAAGUUUCUCCAACAAAUGGCUCAUCUGAUGGAUCUCACUGUGGUUAUUUCCUUGCUUCAACCACCUCCUGAGACGUUGGAAUUAUUUGACGACAUAAUCCUUUUAUGCGAGGGGCAAAUUGUAUAUCAUGGUCCUCGAGAAAAUGCUACUGGUUUCUUUGAAAUUAUGGGAUUCAAAUGCCCCAGCAGGAAGAAUGUAGCUGAUUUCCUUCAAGAGGUACUAGAUUAUAAACUCUAAUAAGAGGGAACUACUGAAUAAAUCUAUAUUGCUAACUUAAGGGCAACCAGUCAAUAAAUAUCAGAAAGUAACAAUGUAGCAUGCAGUACAUGAGUUGCAAUUCCAUCCACAAAAUUCACUAUUAUGUUAUAUGUACUUGUUCGUGCAUAAUAAUGCAAGUAACUGACAGCAACUUUUCUUCAUUUGACCAGGUAACCUCGAAGAUGGAUCAAAAGCAAUACUGGAUUGGUGAUGAAAAUAAGUAUCAAUACCGGUCAAUCGAAAAAUUUGCAGAAUCUUUUCGUUCAUCCUAUCUCCCACAACCUGCGAAAGACGAUCUCUGCAAGACAAACAAUACAGGAAAGAGAAAGGAGAUUAUAACAAGUGCAACUCGCAGGAUCUCUAGAUGGAAUAUUUUCAAGGCAUGCUUUUCAAGGGAAGUAUUGCUUCUUAAAAGAAACUCCCCACUUCAUAUAUUUAAGACUGUACAGAUAACUGUUAUGGCUUUGGUGAUCUCAACGGUUUUCCUUCGAACAAAUAUGAACCAUAAAACUGUACUCGAUGCCAAUAAGUACAUGGGAUCACUCUUUAUGGCUGUUGUGAUAGUAAACUUCAAUGGCAUGACUGAAAUUGGAAUGACAAUAAAGCGACUCCCCACUUUCUACAAGCAAAGAGAGUUACUAGCAUUGCCAGGAUGGGCACUUCUUUCUUCGGUAUUCCUUAUCAGCCUCCCAAUGUCACUUCUAGAGACAGGUCUGUGGACCAGCUUAACCUACUAUGUGAUUGGCUACGCACCUUCCUUUCUCAGGUACCCCUCCUAGUCAAUUCAAUAUCUAAUGAGCAAAAUAUUUGAAUAAGCUGGAAUAACAGAACGAGUUACCUUGCUUCUUGCAGAUUCAUCCAGCAGUUUUUGGUACUUUUUGCCAUGCAUCAAAUGUCAAUGGGCCUCUAUCGUUUCUUAGCGGCAAUAGGAAGGACGCAAGUAAUGGCCAACAUGCUAGGCACUGCAGCUCUCAUAGCAAUCUACAUAUUUGGAGGCUUUGUCAUAUCAAAAGGUUAGAUGUUUUAGCUCAGAAUAACGUAAGAUGUAUGAGUACUUGUGCAACGAAGAUGCUUAACAGUUUUGUACAUUGAAACAGAUAACCUCCAACCAUGGUUGCAGUGGGGAUACUGGACAUCCCCAUUCACCUAUGCACAGAAUGCUGUUGCCCUAAAUGAGUUCCUUGAUGAAAGAUGGGCUAUUGUAAGCAAUUGUUUCAACUAACAUUCUUGAUCCAAUGUACAUAACCCGUGCAAUUAGUUAUGACCUGAUGAUGAUUUUUCAUGCUGACAGGAAUUUUACUAUGCAAAUGCUAAAACAGUUGGUGAAGCUAUCCUCAAGAUCAGGGGGUUGCUCACAGAGUGGCAUUGGUACUGGAUUUGUGUCGGCAUUUUAUUUGGAUUCUCGCUGGUCCUCAACAUCCUCACUAUAUUUGCA